rnacentral:rRNA from 1 species
UGGGGAAUAUUGGACAAUGGGGGAAACCCUGACGCAGCAACGCCGCGUGAGGGAUGAAGGCCUUCGGGUCGUAAACCUCUGUCGGGAGGGAAGAAUGUCCCUGGGGUGAACAAUCCCGGGGGUUGACGGUACCUCUAGAGGAAGCGCCGGCUAACUCCGUGCCAGCAGCCGCGGUAAUACGGAGGGCGCAAGCGUUGUUCGGAAUCAUUGGGCGUAAAGCGCGUGUAGGCGGCUUGGCAAGUCGAGUGUGAAAGCCCGGGGCUCAACCCCGGAAGGUCGCUCGAAACUGCCUCGCUCGAGUCCCGGAGAGGAAGGCGGAAUUCCCGGUGUAGAGGUGAAAUUCGUAGAUAUCGGGAGGAACACCAGCGGCGAAGGCGGCCUUCUGGACGGUGACUGACGCUGAGACGCGAAAGCGUGGGGAGCAA